rnacentral:misc_RNA from 1 species
AGCAGCCGCGGUAAUUCCAGCUCCAAUAGCGUAUAUUAAAGUUGUUGCAGUUAAAAAGCUCGUAGUUGAAUUUCGGGAUCAAUACGUCGGUCGUGCUUCGGUACGUACUGGCGUCAUUGGUUUCUCCCUUCUGACGAACCAUGAUGUCAUUAAUUUGGUGUUAUGGGAAAUCAGGACUGUUACUUUGAAAAAAUUAGAGUGUUUAAAGCAGGCUCACGCUUGAAUACAUUAGCAUGGAAUAAUGAAAUAGGACGUUCGAUCCUAUUUUGUUGGUUUCUAGGAUCAACGUAAUGAUUAAUAGGGAUAGUUGGGGGCAUUAGUAUUCAAUUGUCAGAGGUGAAAUUCUUGGAUUUAUUGAAGACUAACUACUGCGAAAGCAUUUGCCAAGGAUGUUUUCAUUAAUCAAGAACGAAAGUUAGGGGAUCGAAGACGAUCAGAUACCGUCGUAGUCUUAACCAUAAACUAUGCCGACUAGGGAUCGGAUGAUGUUAAUUUUUAAUGACUCAUUCGGCGCCUUACG